rnacentral:rRNA from 1 species
AUACGGAAGGUCCGGGCGUUAUCCGGAUUUAUUGGGUUUAAAGGGAGCGCAGGCCGACUGGUAAGCGUGACGUGAAAUGUAGCCGCUCAACGGCUGAGUUGCGUCGCGAACUGCCGAUCUUGAGUGAGUUCGAUGUAGGCGGAAUUCGUGGUGUAGCGGUGAAAUGCUUAGAUAUCACGAAGAACCCCGAUUGCGAAGGCAGCCUACAAGGCCUUUACUGACGCUAAAGCUCGAAGGUGCGGGUAUCGAACAGGAUUAGAUACCCUGGUAGUCCGCACGGUAAACGAUGGAUGCCCGCUGUUUGCGAUAUACUGUGAGCGGCCAAGAGAAAUCGUUAAGCAUCCCACCUGGGGAGUACGCCGGCAACGGUGAAACUCAAAUGAAUUGACGGGG